rnacentral:rRNA from 1 species
UAAGACAGAGGGGGCAAGCGUUGUCCGGAGUUACUGGGCGUAAAGCGCACGCAGGCGGUGCGGGAAGUGGUGUGUGAAAGCGUGCGGCUCAACUGCACGAGGCCAUGCCAAACUCCCACACUCGAGUCCGGGAGAGGUCCGUCGAAUUGCCGGUGUAGUGGUGAAAUGCGUAGAGAUCGGCAGGAAGACCAAAGGUGAAGACAGCGGACCGGCCCGGUACUGACGCUCAGGUGCGAAGGCGUGGGGAGCAAACCGGAUUAGAUACCCGGGUAGUCCACGCGGUAAACGAUGACGACUCGGCAUAUAGGGGCGUCCCGCCCCCGUGUGCCCUAGCCAACGCGAUAAGUCGUCCGCCUGGGAAGUACGAGCGCAAGCUUAAAACUCAAAGGAAUUGACGGGGCCCGCACAAGCAGCGGAGCGUGUGGUUUAAUUCGAUGCAACACGCAGAACCUCACCCAGAUUUGACAUGCUGGUGCAUCCCGUGGA